rnacentral:rRNA from 1 species
AGCGAACGCUGGCGGCAGGCCUAACACAUGCAAGUCGAACGAACCCUUCGGGGUUAGUGGCGGACGGGUAAGUAACACGUGGGAACGCGCCUUUAGGUUCGGAAUAACUCAGGGAAACUUGUGCUAAUACCGAAUGUGCCCUUCGGGGGAAAGAUUUAUCGCCUUUAGAGCGGCCCGCGUCUGAUUAGCUAGUUGGUGAGGUAAUGGCUCACCAAGGCUACGAUCAGUAGCUGGUCUGAGAGGAUGACCAGCCACAUUGGGACUGAGACACGGCCCAAACUCCUACGGGAGGCAGCAGUGGGGAAUCUUGCGCAAUGGGCGAAAGCCUGACGCAGCCAUGCCGCGUGGAUGAUGAAGGUCUUAGGAUUGUAAAAUCCUUUCACCGGUGAAGAUAAUGACUGUAGCCGGAGAAGAAGCCCCGGCUAACUUCGUGCCAGCAGCCGCAGUAAGAC